rnacentral:rRNA from 1 species
GAUGAACGCUGGCGGCGUGCCUAAUACAUGCAAGUCGAGCGAACAGACGAGGAGCUUGCUCCUCUGACGUUAGCGGCGGACGGGUGAGUAACACGUGGAUAACCUACCUAUAAGACUGGGAUAACUUCGGGAAACCGGAGCUAAUACCGGAUAAUAUAUUGAACCGCAUGGUUCAAUAGUGAAAGACGGUUUUGCUGUCACUUAUAGAUGGAUCCGCGCCGCAUUAGCUAGUUGGUAAGGUAACGGCUUACCAAGGCGACGAUGCGUACCCGACCUGGGAGGGUGAUCGGCCACACUGGAACUGAGACACGGUCCAGACUCCUACGGGAGGCAGCAGUAGGGAAUCUUCCGCAAAGGGCGAAAGCCUGACGGAGCAACGCCGCGUGAGUGAUGAAGGUCUUCGGAUCGUAAAACUCUGUUAUUAGGGAAGAACAAAUGUGUAAGUAACUAUGCACGUCUUGACGGUACCUAAUCAGAAAGCCACGGCUAACUACGUG